UACGUAGGGUGCAAGCGUUGUCCGGAAUUAUUGGGCGUAAAGAGCUCGUAGGCGGUUUGUCGCGUCGAAUGUGAAAACCCGGGGCUCAACCCCGGGCCUGCAUUCGAUACGGGCAGACUAGAGUUCGGUAGGGGAGUCUGGAAUUCCUGGUGUAGCGGUGAAAUGCGUAGAUAUCUGGAGGAACACCGGUGGCGAAGGCGGCAUCCUGGACCAACACUGACACUGAGGAGCGAAAGCCAGGGGAGCAAACGGG
rnacentral:rRNA from 1 species